AAAAUGACAAACCCUGGGUUUCCGUGUCCAACGUUUGACUGUCUGUCUUAUAUGAAUUUUUUUAUAAUUAGUAUUUUCAUUGUUGUUAGAUGAUAAAACAUGAUUAAUACUUUAUGCGUGACUUGUCUUUUUAAUUUUUUUCAUAUUUUUUUCAAAUAAGACGGACGGUCAAAUGUUGGACACGGAAACCCAGAGUUUGUCUUUUU
rnacentral:pre_miRNA from 1 species